rnacentral:lncRNA from 1 species
AAACCUCAUAUAAAAAUCAUAAGCACUGUAUCUCAAAAUAUUAUAACAAUUGUCAAGUAUAUCAAAGUAUACACAUCCCAGGCUGUACAAAUGGUGUGUGCACUGCAAUCUUCCCGAGCUCCUCUUUUGAAAACUGAGUACCUGAAACCAAAACUGAAACUGUAGGCACAAAGCUUAGUGAGCUCCCCCAAACUACCACAUACCAUACAAUAACAUAGAAACACAUAUUGGGCCUUGCCCACUGCAUCGGACUGAAGUCCGGGAACUGCAUCAGACCGAAGUCCGAAACUAAUUGGGACCCCGUCCCCUGCAUCAGACCGAAGUCCGGAACUAGCUGCAUCGGUCCGAGUCCGGAACUGACUGGGACCCCGUCCCCUGCAACGGACCGAAGUCCGGAACUGACUAGGACCCCAUCCCCUACAUCAGACCAAAGUCCGGAAACUGACUGAACAUAGCAUAUCGUAACAUAUCAACCAUCAUGAAUACAUAUAGUGCAUACUGCAUCGGAACAGAGUCCGGAACACAUAACACAACACAUGCAUAAAUCACAAAGACAUCAAGCACUCUAACUAAUGCAUCAAACCGAGGUCCGAAACUAGCUGAACAUAACAUAACAUAAUCAUAGCAUAUAAUAUAAACACAUAUACUGCAUACUGCAUCGAACCAUAGUCUGGAACACAUAACUCAUAUGUAUCACAAAGACACCAAACAUAAUAAACUACUGCAUCAGACUGUAGUCCGGAACUACUGCUAACUAAACGGGUCGGCAUUGUGGCCGUAGACCCGUUCCUACUGGAAGGAAACUCACCUCGCCCUGCUGAAGUCCCGCAGACUCAAUCCCACACUGCUGAAGUCCCGCAGACUCGGCCCCAGCUGCUAAAUGACAGAUUCCCGAUCUGUCAACAUCAAAAUAACACCCAAUUAAUAAUUGAGCUCUAACACAUACACCCAUAAGUCCAUGCUUGGGGUAAAAGACUGCUUUACCCCAUUCAAGCUCAAGGCCCAAAAGUCUAAUAAUGAACCAAGCCCCAACUAUGGCCCAAUUUUCCCCAAUUGGGCCCAAGUCUCUAUAUGGUGUUGCCUUAAGACCCAACCACUUAUUCUUGGUCCAGUAUCUCAUAAUCAUCAAGGCUUAUAUAUGGUCAAACUCAAGGUCCAAACAACAAUUAGGGUUUCUUAUAGGAAUGAUGAUUAGGGUUAAGUAUUCCUACGUAACCCGUUAAAGACUUAAUCGACUAAGUCCAUCACUCCACUAGGUCAAACAUACGGUGUGGUCGGGCGUAAUUCAUAAUUCAAUUCCAAUGAUCCGAAAAUGCGAGUCCCAACAAUUCCAAAACUAGCAUAUCCAUAUAAUGAUAAAUAAAGUUAUGAUUCGAUAAUCCAAAUUAUAGAUCGCACUACAAAUGGUCAUUUUAAAUANNNNNNNNNNNNNNNNNNNNNNNNNNNNNNNNNNNNNNNNNNNNNNNNNNNNNNNNNNNNNNNNNNNNNNNNNNNNNNNNNNNNNUAUAUUCCAUGAAUAAUAUUCAUUUCAUUAAUCACCGGGGAUAGCAUCGACUCUUGAAUUUAAAGUACUCUAAUAAUUAGAUAAUACCUCAUUUGCUAGUUAUGCCCCUUCAUAGGACAAUCAUUUUAACCCAAUAGCCCAACUUCGCAUAACCCAAAACAUGCCACCAGCCCAUUACAUAACUUGAUACAUACCAGCUCAUUAAAAGCCCAACAAGAGUCCAAUCUUACAUGUUAUCCAGAUGGCACACUAGAGCAUCCAUCAGUGGUUGCCGAAUCCUCCUUCAUCAGAAACGCAAGCCCCAUAACCAAAUUAAGAAUCACGCGGACCUACACCCUGACUGUUAUCGAUUCCUCUCCUUCUUUAUGGCCAUCGAAGACUAGCAACUCGCCUUCUCCCUUACGGAUGUUGCUGGAGGUCUCAAGACAGUCGCUGGAAAAUCGGUAGGCCAAGAAAACGGGAUUAGAACCCAUUAAUCAAUUUCUAUCUAACCGAAGUCACCAAUGCAAGAUAAGAAAUCGGAGGAUGAAUUGAGUCUUACCUACCUUCCCUGCUCUGUAGAACAUACGAAAUUCGCCGGAGGCCCACACAGUGUCGGAGAACGACGCAACCAUCGGGAACGCCUCCCUACCUGGUUCAAGGUGUCGAGCAGAUUUGGAGCUGAAGGAAUGACCCCAUUCUCGCUAAAAUAUCCCCACCUCCUUGUCUCAAAUAAUGCUCCAGUGAGAGUUCCAACUGGCGAAGAAACCCAACGAUGGCAGCUCCUUCCUCACGGUUCUUCUUCUUUCAUAACAUUCCUUCACAACUUCGAUGUCUCUCACCCUCUCUCGCCGCCAAUGAACAUACAUAUUUUUCAUUCCAUCUAAGGGUUUAUUCCUUAUAUACCCUGAUGAUGCAGAUAAA